GAUGAACGCUGGCGGCGUGCCUAAUACAUGCAAGUCGAGCGAACAAACGAGGAGCUUGCUCCUCUGACGUUAGCGGCGGACGUGUGAGUAACACGUGGAUAACCUACCUAUAAGACUGGGAUAACUUCGGGAAACCGGAGCUAAUACCGGAUAAUAUAUUGAACCGCAUGGUUCAAUAGUGAAAGACGGUUUUGCUGUCACCUAUAGAUGGAUCCGCGCCGCAUUAGCUAGUUGGUAAGGUAACGGCUUACCAAGGCCACGAUGCGUAGCCGACCUGAGAGGGUGAUCGGCCACACUGGAACUGAGACACGGUCCAGACUCCUACGGGAGGCAGCAGUAGGGAAUCUUACGCGAUGGGCGAGAGCCUGACGGAGCAACACCGCGUGAGUGAUGAAGGUCUUCGGAUCGUAAAACUCUGUUAUUAGGGAAGAACAAAUGUGUAAGUAGCUAUGCACGUCUUGACGGUACCUAAUCAGAAAGCCACGGCUAACUACGUG
rnacentral:rRNA from 1 species